GAUGAAGAACGUAGCGAAAUGCGAUAAGUAAUGUGAAUUGCAGAAUUCAGGGAAUCAUCGAAUCUUUGAACGCACAUUGCGCCCGCCAGUAUUCUGGCGGGCAUGCCUGUUCGAGCGUCAUUUCAACCAUCAAGCCCCCGGCUUGUGUUGGGGACCUGCGGCUGCCGCAGGCCCUGAAAACCAGUGGCGGGCUCGCUGUCACACCGAGCGUAGUAGAUUUUCAUCUCGCUCAGGGCGUGCUGCGGGUUCCGGCCGUAAAAAGCCUUAUUUACCCAAGGUUGACCUCGGAUCAGGUAGGAAGACCCGCUGAACUUAAGCAUAUCAAUAAGCGGAGGA
rnacentral:misc_RNA from 1 species